GGCCCAAAUUCGAAGUAGAAUAGAUUAGUAUGGUCAGCUGUUCCUACUGAUCGACUCUACUUCAAGUUUGUGCCC
rfam:Haemonchus contortus, ISE/inbred ISE, WGS project CAVP01000000 data, contig: Hcontortus_contig_pathogens_Hcontortus_scaffold_5848